CGGAUUGCAGGCUGCAACUCGCCUGCAUGAAGUCGGAAUUGCUAGUAAUCGCGGAUCAGCAUGCCGCGGUGAAUACGUUCCCGGGCCUUGUACACACCGCCCGUCACACCAUGAGAGCCGGUAACACCCGAAGUCAGAAGCCUAACCGCAAGGAGGGCGCUGCCGAAGGUGGGAUUGGCGACUGGGGUGAAGUCGUAACAAGGUACC
rnacentral:rRNA from 1 species